rnacentral:rRNA from 1 species
CAUGCAAGUCGAGGGGCAGCAUUUCAGUUUGCUUGCAAACUGGAGAUGGCGACCGGCGCACGGGCUGAGUAACACGCUAUCCAACCUGCCGAUAACUCGGGGAUAGCCUUUCGAAAGAAAGAUUAAUACCCGAUGGNAUAAUCAGACCGCAUGGUCUUAUUAUUAAAGAAUUUCGGUUAUCGAUGGGGAUGCGUUCCAUUAGGCAGUUGGUGAGGUAACGGCUCACCAAACCUUCGAUGGAUAGGGGUUCUGAGAGGAAGGUCCCCCACAUUGGAACUGAGACACGGUCCAAACUCAUACGGGAGGCAGCAGUGAGGAAUAUUGGUCAAUGGGCGCAGGCCUGAACCAGCCAAGUAGCGUGAAGGAUGACUGCCCUAUGGGUUGUAAACUUCUUUUAUAUGGGAAUAAAGUUUUCCACGUGUGGAAUUUUGUAUGUACCAUAUGAAUAAGGAUCGGCUAACUCCGUGCCAGCAGCCGCGGUAAUACGGAGGAUCCGAGCGUUAUCCGGAUUUAUUGGGUUUAAAGGGAGCGUAGGUGGACAGUUAAGUCAGUUGUGAAAGUUUGCGGCUCAACCGUAAAAAUUGCAGUUGAUACUGGCUGUCUUGAGUACAGUAGAGGUGGGCGGAAUUCGUGGUGUAGCGGUGAAAUGCUUAGAUAUCACGAAGAACUCCGAUUGCGAAGGCAGCUCACUGGACUGCAACUGACACUGAUGCUCGAAAGUGUGGGUAUCAAACAGGAUUAGAUACCCUGGUAGUCCACACAGUAAACGAUGAAUACUCGCUGUUUGCGAUAUACAGUAAGCGGCCAAGCGAAAGCAUUAAGUAUUCCACCUGGGGAGUACGCCGGCAACGGUGAAACUCAAAGGAAUUGACGGGGGCCCGCACAAGCGGAGGAACAUGUGGUUUAAUUCGAUGAUACGCGAGGAACCUUACCCGGGCUUAAAUUGCAUUUGAAUANUNUGGAAACAGNUUAGCCGNAAGGCAAAUGUGAAGGUGCUGCAUGGUUGUCGUCAGCUCGUGCCGUGAGGUGUCGGCUUAAGUGCCAUAACGAGCGCAACCCUUAUCUUUAGUUACUAACAGGUCAUGCUGAGGACUCUAGAGAGACUGCCGUCGUAAGAUGUGAGGAAGGUGGGGAUGACGUCAAAUCAGCACGGCCCUUACGUCCGGGGCUACACACGUGUUACAAUGGGGGGUACAGAAGGCAGCUACCUGGUGACAGGAUGCUAAUCCCAAAAGCCUCUCUCAGUUCGGAUCGAAGUCUGCAACCCGACUUCGUGAAGCUGGAUUCGCUAGUAAUCGCGCAUCAGCCAUGGCGCGGUGAAUACGUUCCCGGGCCUUGUACACACCGCCCGUCAAGCCAUGAAAGCCGGGGGUACCUGAAGUACGAACCGCAAGGAG